AUUGAACGCUGGCGGCAUGCCUUACACAUGCAAGUCGAACGGUAACAGAUCUUCGGAUGCUGACGGGUGGCGAACGGGUGAGUAAUACAUCGGAACGUGCCUAGUAGUGGGGGAUAACUACUCGAAAGAGUGGCUAAUACCGCAUGAGAUCUACGGAUGAAAGCAGGGGGUCGCAAGACCUUGUGCUACUAGAGCGGCCGAUGGCAGAUUAGGUAGUUGGUGGGAUAAAAGCUUACCAAGCCGACGAUCUGUAGCUGGUCUGAGAGGACGAUCAGCCACACUGGGACUGAGACACGGCCCAGACUCCUACGGGAGGCAGCAGUGGGGAAUUUUGGACAAUGGGCGCAAGCCUGAUCUAGCAAUGCCGCGUGCAGGAUGAAGGCCUUCGGGUUGUAAACUGCUUUUGUACGGAACGAAAAGCCCUGGGUUAAUACCCUGGGGUCAUGACGGUACCGUAAGAAUAAGCACCGGCUAACUACGUGCCAGCAGCCGCAGUAAUAC
rnacentral:rRNA from 1 species